UUGAAAGGGAAACGAUUGAAGUCAGUCGUGCUGGCGCGAAAUCAACCUUCUCGUCGAGAGGACACAUGGCGUGGCGAGCCUCAAAACCGUCACGAAGCGUGAACUCUUGGCGAAAAGGAGCACUUUCGUGUCCGCUGGUUAACAUCAAUUUCGAACGUCAUAAAAAGGCUGGAGGGAUGUGGCUCCUUCGGGAGUGUUAUAACCUUUAGCGGAAUGUGGUGGUCGGGAUUGAGGAUUGCAACGAAUACCUUUAGGGCUGUUCCACCUGGCUUCUCUUUGGUAUCCUGGUGAAGACAGCUUGCUGACUUUGUUAGGAUUCGCCUUUGAACAGGCUAGAGUGUGAGCAAAUUCGUUAAGGAUGUUGACGUA
rnacentral:rRNA from 1 species